CGGAGUGAGUAAUGUCUGGGAAACUGCCUGAUGGAGGGGGAUAACUACUGGAAACGGUAGCUAAUACCGCAUAACGUCGCAAGACCAAAGAGGGGGACCGUUCGGGCCUCUUGCCAUCGGAUGUGCCCAGAUGGGAUUAGCUAGUAGGUGGGGUAACGGCUCACCUAGGCGACGAUCCCUAGCUGGUCUGAGAGGAUGACCAGCCACACUGGAACUGAGACACGGUCCAG
rnacentral:rRNA from 1 species